GCAUGCCACGAUAACAAGAGGGAUCCAUGUUAUUCCAAAAGGCAGAAGACACUGCAUACUACACACACUGAGCAAAGGUGGAAGAAGUUUGACGUUAAAGCGCCAGAAAACUGGAUGUCCAGGUGGAUCCUUUGGUCGACUAAGCAGGAUGGCGUGGUAAAAGGACGACAGCGAGGGAUGAUGCAAACGACGACAGACCACCGCUGAGACAACGUACACACAGAUGGAGAUGACACAGAGCCCGUGCGUGUGAUGAAAGUGAGGAGAAACAAACAUUGAGACUGGAAUUCCCUUUCAAUAUUAUCAUCACGCAUAUUUCUCUGAUUCUUGUGACUGUGAAGUAUUAAAGUAGAGGGCAGUCUGGCUUACCGGAUGUACGCUGCUGAGACAAAGCCUGACGAGGCAAACAAGCGAGACAACGCGUGUUUUGGGUGCAAAAAUCUUAAUUUGCAAAGUAACUAGUAACUAAAGCUGACAGAUUAAUGUUGUGGAGUACAAAGUGGGAUGAAAAGAAAAGUAAAGUACAAGUAUACCACCCACGUGGUCAAGUCGCUGCUAACCGCUAUUGGCUGACAACACGGUCACAUCAGCUCAGCUGCAACAACCGAUCUGCAUCAGCGCAUCAGCUGGUCAACUCCCCUCGCUGCUAAAUGGCUACACUCAAACAGGGCGCCCUACUUAAAGCUGCUUUAGUUUGCUCCCAACUGCUUGCUGCUCGCAUCUACGCUACCCUCCUCCUCCCCUGCUCCACCUUGUCGUGUAUAACGUGGCGUUUGCUUCUAUGUCAUUGUUGCUGCUCUGUUCAUACGGGGGAAUAGUUUAGCUCUCCCAGUCUUAAAUUGCGUGCGUCCCGUAAUGCUGCUGCUGCAGUCAGGGUACUCCUCUGAACA